rnacentral:rRNA from 1 species
AGAGGGUGCAAACGUUGCUCGGAUUUACUGGGCGUAAAGCGCGUGUAGGCGGACUCGCAAGUCGGUUGUGAAAUCCCUGGGGCUUAACCUAGGAACUGCAUCCGAAACUGCUUGUCUUGAGUAAUGGAGAGGGUGGCGGAAUUCCCGGUGUAGAGGUGAAAUUCGUAGAUAUCGGGAGGAACAUCAGUGGCGAAGGCGGCCACCUGGACAUUUACUGACGCUGAGACGCGAAAGCGUGGGGAGCAAACAGGAUUAGAUACCCUGGUAGUCCACGCCGUAAACGAUGAGAACUAGGUGCAGCGGAUAUUGACCUCUGCUGUGCCGUAGCUAACGCGUUAAGUUCUCCGCCUGGGGAGUACGGCCGCAAGGCUA